UUUGCCUGCCAGCUGUUUUUUGCUUUUAUUGUCAAUGUUUAUUUAGUACUAUUUGCUGGUCUUUCUUCUUUUACCCUUAUAAAAGUGUAAGCUGAAGUGAACAGUGUGAGGCUAUAAGCAGGGAGGCAGUGAGACAAGAUGUUCAUUGGCAAUGCAUUCGGCUACAAGUAACAGACAACAAACUGUAGCUCAAAAGGUUACUUUUUUCCUACAAAAAGAGGGUCGGAAGCAGCUUCCGCAACGAUGCUGCCAGGAACCCAGGCUCUGUCAACUUUUUCUUCCACCAUCCUUGGAGGAAAGUCACCUUCAUGCUCUUUCAUCCUCUGAAAAGUGGUAGUGCUCCUAGAAUUUAACAGCCAGUUUCUGCCAAUAUUUUAUUCAUCAGAACAAUGCCACAGAUCCCUCUGGUUGGAACGCGUUCUUUUGGGCUGUCUAACAACACAGGAAGGAAAUGGAGAAAGCCUGGGAGGGAAUGAAAAUCAAAAUCAUUCAGUGAAUCAAUAUCAUCAGGGGUUGAACAAAGGUGGGACAGUAAAAACGAAAAGGAAAUAAAGGAUAUAAUUGAUGUGUGAGGAGUUAACAUGUAAAAUUAGCAGCCAAACAAAAAAGAGGCAUCAAAGAUGAUGAAGUUUCCCUUUUAAAUAGGUGUAAUUCAGUUUAAAUAACAUACAGUUAAAAAGAAAUGUGGAUACAUACCUUUAAACUAUAAAUAUUAGUGGAUUUUUAAUCCUUUUAUAUGCAUAUUAUAUUCUGUUUUAAUCAUCAUAAGCACAAAUGUCUAUCUUGCUUUUCUAUUUUUAUUGACGUCUCAAAUUUGAAAUAUGUUAGUUGCCACCUCUACAUCAAAAAUAAUUCUAUGUAUGUAGCAUUUUUUUAUAAUUUGUAUUUACUCUUUGGGUUAUAUUUCCAGAAGUGUGAAUAGUGAAUCAAAACAUAGGGAUAGAUUUUCUUUGAUGUUGUUAUUGUGCCAUAGCAUAAAAUUGCUUGCCAACUGGUACUAAACUGUGAAUGAUUUUCAACUAAGAUAAUUUGGUAAGGUGGACAGAAAUCUGAGAGAUAAGAGGAGGGGGAAUGUUUUGAAGUAGAGCAUGGUGAUUUACUUUGGCUUGGACAUAUUCAGUUCAAGUUGAUGGUGGAAUACCAGUUUGUAAUAAUUCAGCAAGUAGCUUGACGUGCAAAACUGUUUUUCCUGAAAGUCAUUAAUUAUCACAGUUGAUAUUGAUGAGAAAUUGUAGAGGCGAUUUUGAUAUCAAAUAUAAUCCUUAAGGAAAACAAUCAUAGGAAUGAAGACAGUAAAAUAUAAAUUAUUCUUAGGGGAAGAAAGGAAGAAGAAGGAUAGCCCACAAAUGAGGGAGAGAAAGAAGCAUUAAGAAACAAGUCAAUGAGCAGUCGGUGUAUUUGGGAAGGAGGCAGUGGUCUUCAAUGUCAAAUGCAGAAUGAAUGGGCAUGAGAAGCAAGCAGGAAGGAAUUGGAUUAUAAGCCAAUGAUGCAAAAAUUCUCGUGGCCCAGUAGCUCCCUCCUCACCAAGGGUUCAGCUACAGACACCCAUUAAGGCUCCUUGUUCCAGACACCUACUUCUAUCCUAAAUCUACCUAAGACUUCCAGAUCAUCUGCUGUGUAUCCCUUCCUGGUUCACUUCCCAUUGUCUUAGAUUGGACCUGAGGACUCUGUCCUCUUUACCCUGCAAUGUCCUUCCUCCCUCAGGGAUCCCAUUCCAUUUUCCUGCACAUUUUGUCUCCUGAGAGCCAAACAUUCCUCAGGCUUCCUUCUCCCUGCUUCUCUUCUUGCAGUAAGAGAGAUCAGACAGGAGUGACUUCACAAAGGAGUAGGAACAGAAUGAUGGGAAUGUAAAAGCACACUCUAGGAUGCUUGGGGAGUGAGCAGUGCGGAAGUAGAGACCUUUUCAAUCAGCCAACACUGUGGCUUGGAACACCAACAGAGCACAGCAUGGCGGAGGGUACAGAGUCCUUAUAAAAACAGCCACAUCCACACACAACAACUUUCUUUACCAUACAAGGCAAAAUAAAACACAAAUAUGAUUGUCCUUACAUUUGACGGUUUGAAACAGCCUAGGAAAAAUUAAGGUUUGAGUCUAGCGUUUCUAUAAAUAUAAAUACUUAAAUAAUUUAGGAGGCACAUCAACGCAUUGUAGGUAUCUAAUCUCAUUGAGAUACCCCCACCUCAGUCCCCACCCUGGUUUGCAGAUUGAUUACUCUGGUGUCGCUGGGUCUUAUUUAUCAGUGUUUUGGGUAUUCGUAUAUGGUGAUUCUGGACAUUGUCCUAAAUGUAGCAAAUCACUCCAAAUACUUCCUCUCUGUUUUAGUUAGCUAGAAAAAUCUAUGCACUGCAAAAUUUAAUGGAAAAUGCAAUUUAGUCUCUUUUUUCCCGUAAAUGUCAAGCACUUAGAUAUUUGGAAAUGCCUAACAUCAACUUAAUUUCCUGCUAUUCCUUCAGACAUUUGGGAUCACACAGCCAUGACCACAGACACAGUAUUAUAUUACAAGAGUGGCUGCAGUUCCUGAACAACAGCUGACUCUCAUAUGGGACCUUAGCCCAGGCUCCAUUGCAUACAGGUUUGGAGCCACUCCCACGGUGGCUCACUGGGCUUCUGCAUGCUCUAGCUCUUUAGGGUAGAGUUGGCUUGAAACUUCUAGGGCACAACUUCAAGGCUGUACCUAAAAAUCAUUUUUUUUCAGAGGGUGCCAUUUUGUGUUCUGUACAAUUUAUUUGUGGGCUUCUCAGAAUUGGUUGGCAGUUUAUGUAAUAUCCCUGCAAUAAUGGGAGGCAAUUACUUUCUGAAAACAAGACCUGUGAUUAUCCCAGCAGCAUGGCCUGGAUUCCCUUUGCAAAGGACAGGCUUCCACUUCCACAGAGGCUUCAAGUGAUUCCUGAAAAUGCCCACCACACUCAGAAGCAGAAAUGUUCUCUCAUGCUUGGAACUCCUGACGCAGACAGCAGGAUUUCAGCCUUGGGACUAUGGACACUGUGGGCCAGAUGAUUCUUUGUUGUGGGACUGUCCAGUGAAUUGUGGGAUAUUUAGUAGCACCCAUUGCCUCUACCCACUAGAUCCCAGUUAUGAUAACUAAAAAUAUCUCCAGACAUUGCCAGGCAUCCUGGGUGUGGGUGGGCACAAAAUCACUCUCUAAUGAGAAGCACUGGAGCUGUAUAGACAUUUAGUCCCCAAACCUCUAACUCAGACCCAGGAUCUUCUUCGAAAUUAUCUUCAUGCUGCUUACACUGUGUGCCCAGCUCCAGGUCUAGGCCCGAAUAUAAACAAGAAUAGCUUCCUUCUACUGCCUUCUUUGAUGCAGAGUAUUCAAAUCCCAAAGAGCAAGGAGCUGCCUGGGCCUCUCUUAUCUUGCAUCGUCAUUGCUUCUGCCUGAAAUUUUGGACCUUUUCUUAGGAGAGAGCAUCAACUAGAACCAGGGAAAAGCAAUUAUUGAGUGCCUGCUGUAUACUGAGCACUGUUCUGGAUGCUUCAGAAUCAGCCCUAAAUUCUUGCCCUCAUGGGGCUUUCAUUAUAGUGGGGAGGCUAAAAAUAAACAAAAUUAAGU